GGUAGACCAGGUCGGACUCUGUGUGAGGCUUGAAAUUCUCGUUGACUGGAACCUGAAGGGCGGAGAAACCAAGAUGUCGACCAAGAUUGUUCCAACUCUGACGGGGUCGAGUGACGUGUGAGGUCCCCGCUGCUCUCUUCAAGCCUCCAGAUUGCGCUCUUACGCCGUAAUUGCUUCGCACAUCGAAGCCUGGAGACACGUGAAACCGCAUAGAAAGAACCGCACCGAGACGACCAAGAAAAGGGGAACCAAGGAGACGAGUUACCUAGACGAGGCUCCACGGAACUCCUACCCACCGCAGGUUUCCCGACCGGGAUUCGAACCCGGGACCACCGCCUUCCGAGUCCAC